CCUACGGGUGGCAGCAGUAGGGGAUUUUGCGCAAUGGGGGAAACCCUGACGCAGCAACGCCGCGUGAUCGAUGAAGCCCUUCGGGGUGUAAAGAUCUGUCAGUGGGGACGAAACCUGACGGUACCCACCGAGGAAGCACCGGCUAACUCCGUGCCACCAGCCGCGGUAAUACGGGGGGUGCAAGCGUUUUCCGGAAUCAUUGGGGGUAAAGAGUUCGUAGUGGGCAAGUUAGGUCUGGUGUGAAAGGCGGAAGCUCAACUUCCGUAGGGCACUGGAUACUGGCGAGCUUGAGUGCGGUAGAGGCAAAGGGAAUUCCUGGUGUAGCGGUGAAAUGCGUAGAUAUCAGGAGGAACAUCGGUGGCGUAAGCGCUUUACUGGGCCGUAAUUGACACUGAGGAACGAAAGCCGGGGUAGCAAAUGGGAUUAGAUACCCCAGUAGUC
rnacentral:rRNA from 1 species